ACACCUUUCUUGGCCUUUUGGCUAAGAUCAAGAUCAAGUGUACUAAUAUCUGUUCUUAUCAGUUUAAUAUUUGAUACGUGGGCCAAUGACCCACUUGAUAUUAAAUUUAUUUUUUGAGGCGUAGGGGCCACCACAGUAGCUUGCUAUGGCGUUGCACUAUAGCCCCGGCCUGGCACACUCCACCAAAUCUGAGUUGAAAUUUU